CGGGGGGAGCAAGCGUUGUUCGGAUUUACUGGGCGUAAAGGGCGCGUAGGCGGCCAGCACAAGUCAGUUGUGAAAUCUCCGAGCUUAACUCGGAAAGGUCAACUGAUACUGUGCGGCUAGAGUGCGGAAGGGGCAACUGGAAUUCUUGGUGUAGCGGUGAAAUGCGUAGAUAUCAAGAGGAACACCUGCGGCGAAGGCGGGUUGCUGGGCCGACACUGACGCUGAGGCGCGAAAGCCAGGGGAGCGAACGGGAUUAGAUACCCCGGUAGUCCUGGCCUUAAACGAUGAAUGCUUGGUGUCUGGGGUUGUAAAGUCCCCGGGUGCCGUCGCUAACGCUUUAAGCAUUCCGCCUGGGGAGUACGGUCGCAAGACUG
rnacentral:rRNA from 1 species